ACGACCCCAGGUCAGGCUGGACUACUCGCUGAGUU
rnacentral:rRNA from 1 species